CCUACGGGCGGCUGCAGUGGGGGAUAUUGCACAAUGGAGGAAACUCUGAUGCAGCGACGCCGCGGGAGGGAAGACGGUCUUCGGAUUGUAAACCUCUGUCUUUGGGGAAGAAAAUGACGGUACCCAAAGAGGAAGCUCCGGCUAACGACGUGCCAGCAGCCGCGGUAAUACGUAGGGAGCGAGCGUGGUCCGGAAUUACUGGGUGUAAAGGGAGCGUAGGCGGGCGAGAAAGUUGAAUGUUAAAUCUACCGGCUUAACUGGUAGCUGCGUUCCAAACUUCUUGUCUUGAGUGAAGUAGAGGCAGGCGGCCUUCCUCGUGUAGCGGUGACCUGCGUAGAUCUUAGGAGGAACCCCAGUGGCGAAGGCGGCCUGCUGGGCUUUAACUGACGCUGAGGCUCGACAGCGUGGGGAGCAAACAGGAUUAGAUACCCCAGUAGUC
rnacentral:rRNA from 1 species